rnacentral:tRNA from 1 species
AGUACUGUGGCUUCGUGGUAGAGUACUUGCCUAGCAUGCAUGAAACUUAGGUUCGAUUCCUCAGUACCA